CACACCGCCCGUCACACCAUGGGAGUUUGUUGCACCAGAAGCAGGUAGCUUAACCUUCGGGAGGGCGCUUGCCACGGUGUGGCCGAUGACUGGGGUG
rnacentral:rRNA from 1 species